AAAUUUUAUUUUAAAUAUUAGAGAGAAGUCUAGAGACAAGGCUUUACAAGUAGUUUAACUAAAUGUUGCCAAAUGUCUCCAUUUUUAGCCAUGGAAAAAUACUAAUGUUGGGAGACUAAAAACAUGAGAUAUCAUCUUUCUUCCUCAUUCUUCUUCUCUACAAAAAAAUCGGCAGCCACCUCUCUCAAAUCACCAUGGCUAUUUCCUCUCACAUUUUCUUAAGUUUAUCGGCGAAUCGAACAUGUAAUCGCGUAAACGUUAAGAAAUCAAGCGAAGGAGCCUAUAGCGUGUUUUGAACACAAAAGGAAUGGACCUAGAAGAUAGCGAAGGGUAGGAAGGUGAAAUAGGCUUAUAUUCAUAAGCUUGUGAGGAAUCACCCCCUGCAUUUCCACAAAUCCACCAUAGUCAAAAUACGUGUCACAUUUGUGUUGUGUGUGAGAGAGAUAGAGGGUGAAAGAGAGACAUUGAUUUGGGCGGUAAGGGGGUCGAAGCCAGUGCCGGCA